rnacentral:lncRNA from 1 species
UUUAUGUCAUACUCACUCCACCUAUCAUUACAAAUCAGAGUUGAUUUUUUUUUAAUUGUCAGCUAGCCAGGUCUACUCGAUACCUUACAAUUAAGCUGUUUGUUUCUUCCAGCUCUAUAAACAGUGAAGCUCCUGGACUCAGCUAGACCGUAGCUACUGCUGUUACGCUGCUGUAAAGGCAUGAACUAUAUCAGAGCACAGCUUGCUAUUGCAGCUGCUUUGGCUCCAGAGGGGUGUUUGUGUCAGUAAACUAAUCGCACAUGACUUGGACAAGAGGCAGGCAGGGAGCAGAUAAGGGUCUGUUUUUGCAGAGUCCGUUCUUUGUCCAUGACUAUGUUUUGGUGAAUGAAAUCAUCACAGUGCAGACAGCAGUGUGACUAUACAGGAAAGGAGGCCAUUAGCCCCUUAGUUACAAUCCCCACUAGGUUGUGUGCUCCCAGCUUUGGACAAGUCAUUUAACCUUUGUGUGGCUCCUCUUCUCAAAGCCCUUGACAUUCUGCACAGCCAGCAGAAUGGCACAUUUCUUAAUGGCAACUGGGAAUCAAAAAGGAACUUCAAAGUGAGAAGUAAAAAUAACUGGAAGGCUUUGGUGGCCAAAUUAAGAGAGAUGAAAGUCAACCUCCCAUUGAGAUCAGAAGAGCUGGACUCCCUCUCCAGUGCCUGGAUGACCAGCAUAAGCCAUUCUCAACAGCAACAGUGGGAAGAUGAUUGCAGGAAGGAAUGUGGAGGGAAAGAAAGAAAAUAA